GGAGGUGUAGCUCAGCGGUAGAGCACUUGCCUAGCAAGCAUAAGGCCCUGGGUUCAAAACCCAGUACCAUUC
rnacentral:tRNA from 1 species